AGCCGCCAUGCUGGAAGCAUAAAUAGAAGCGGAAGAGAGGAAGACGGUCAUUUGAACACAGCGGAGCGAAGAAAGCAGCAGACCGACCGACGUCUCUCUGACUUUAACCGAUAUUAAAUGUUGCUUCCUGUCUGGCGCUCGUCGGAGGAGGAGAAGGAUGGCGCCACCUGAGCCGUUCGCCUUCGGGUGUCGACAAGGCUGGAUGUGAGAACGUCUGGAUCUUGGUUGAGGUGUUUUCUUCAUCUUCUGGACGCCGUCUCCUGGUGACGUACAGGAGGGUGGACGGUGCCUGUCAGCAGUGCUUUCCUCACUUCUGUCCAUCCAAAGGAACCGCUGAUGUCUGGUCGACCACGAUCGAGGAGCUGCCGUCGUUUCAGAACGUCCAGGCAACGCAUCAUGUAAAAUGUUCCACUGAUCGACAUUGAAUACAGAAUGAAAUAAAAGCAUCAGUGUGAA